rnacentral:rRNA from 1 species
CAGUAGCCGCGGGAACACAGAGGGUGCGAGCGUUAAUCGGAUUUACUGGGCGUAAAGCGUGCGUAGGCGGCUUCUUAAGUCGGAUGUGAAAUCCCUGAGCUUAACUUAGGAAUUGCAUUCGAUACUGGGAAGCUAGAGUAUGGGAGAGGAUGGUAGAAUUCCAGGUGUAGCGGUGAAAUGCGUAGAGAUCUGGAGGAAUACCGAUGGCGAAGGCAGCCAUCUGGCCUAAUACUGACGCUGAGGUACGAAAGCAUGGGGAGCAAACAGGAUUAGAUACCCCGGUAGUCCCUGUCUCUUAUAA